rnacentral:rRNA from 1 species
UACGGAGGGGGCUAGCGUUGUUCGGAAUUACUGGGCGUAAAGCGCACGUAGGCGGCUUUGUAAGUUAGAGGUGAAAGCCCGGGGCUCAACUCCGGAAUUGCCUUUAAGACUGCAUCGCUAGAAUUGUGGAGAGGUAAGUGGAAUUCCGAGUGUAGAGGUGAAAUUCGUAGAUAUUCGGAAGAACACCAGUGGCGAAGGCGGCUCUCUGGGACGGUACUGACGCUGAGACGCGAAAGCGUGGGGAGCGAACAGG